rnacentral:rRNA from 1 species
GACGAACGCUGGCGGCGUGCUUAACACAUGCAAGUCGAACGGUAAGGCCCUUCGGGGUACACGAGUGGCGAACGGGUGAGUAACACGUGGGUGAUCUGCCCUGCACUUCGGGAUAAGCCUGGGAAACUGGGUCUAAUACCGGAUAGGACCAUUGCCUGCAUGGGUGGUGGUGGAAAGCUUUUGCGGUGUGGGAUGGGCCCGCGGCCUAUCAGCUUGUUGGUGGGGUGAUGGCCUACCAAGGCGACGACGGGUAGCCGGCCUGAGAGGGUGACCGGCCACACUGGGACUGAGAUACGGCCCAGACUCCGACGGGAGGCAGCAGUGGGGAAUAUUGCACAAUGGGCGCAAGCCUGAUGCAGCGACGCCGCGUGAGGGAUGACGGCCUUCGGGUUGUAAACCUCUUUCAGCACCGACGAAACGCAAGUGACGGUAGGUGCAGAAGAAGGACCGGCCAACUACGUGCCAGCCGCCGCCGUAA